rnacentral:snoRNA from 1 species
AGCCUGUGACGACCAAAAACUUUGUUUCUCGAUGCUGACUUGAUUUAAAUUAGAUUUAAUCUAGGACCAAACUUUUGAUGACCUUUGUGCUUGUCUGAGCCAC